UCCCUCUUAGCUCAGUUGGUAGAGCGCGUCACUAGUAUGAAUUCAUGACGAGGUCAGUCGUUCAAGUCGGCUAGAGGGAA